CCUACGGGUGGCAGCAGUGAGGAAUAUUGGUCAAUGGGCGCGAGCCUGAACCAGCCAAGUCGCGUGAGGGAAGACGGUCCUACGGAUUGUAAACCUCUUUUGUCGGGGAGCAAAAGACGCCACGCGUGGCGUUCCGCGAGUACCUGAAGAAAAAGCAUCGGCUACCUCCGUGCCAGCAGCCGCGGUAAUACGGAGGAUGCGAGCGUUAUCCGGAUUUAUUGGGGUUAGAGGGUGCGCAGGCGGAAGAUCAAGUCAGCGGUAAAAUUGAGAGGCUCAACCUCUUCGAGCCGUUGAAACUGGUUUUCUUGAGUGAGUGAGAAGGAUGCGGAAUGCGUGGUGUAGCGGUGAAAUGCAUAGAUAUCACGCAGAACUCCGAUUGCGAAGGCAGCAUACCGGCGCUCAACUGACGCUCAUGCACGAAAGUGUGGGUAUCGAACAGGAUUAGAUACCCCUGUAGUC
rnacentral:rRNA from 1 species